rnacentral:rRNA from 1 species
GAACCGUGCGAACGUUGUUCGGAUUCACUGGGCUUAAAGGGCGCGUAGGCGGCUUGCCAAGUCAGGGGUGAAAUCUUCCAGCUCAACUGGAAAAGUGCCCUUGAAACUGGCAGGCUUGAGGGAGGUAGGGGCACGUGGAACUUCCAGUGGAGCGGUGAAAUGCGUUGAUAUUGGAAGGAACGCCGGUGGCGAAAGCGACGUGCUGGCCCUCUUCUGACGCUGAGGCGCGAAAGCUAGGGGAGCGAACGGGGAUUAGAUACCCCGGUAGUCCUAGCCCUAAACGAUGGGUACUAGGUAGUGGACUUAACAUGGGUUCACUGCCGAAGCAAAAGUGUUAAGUACCCCGCCUGGGGAGUAUGGUCGCAAGGCUG